rnacentral:rRNA from 1 species
UCAGGAUGAACGCUAGCGGCAGGCCUAAUACAUGCAAGUCGAACGGGAAGAGGCCCUUCGGGGUCUCUGAGAGUGGCGCACGGGUGCGUAACGCGUAUGCAACCAACCCCGCACUGGGGGGACAGCCGGUGGAAACGCCGGGUAAUACCCCAUGCCGACGGGAGGGGACAUCCCCAUCCGUUGAAAGGCUUCGGUCGGUGCGGGACGGGCAUGCGUCCCAUUAGCUAGUCGGCGGGGUAACGGCCCACCGAGGCCAUGAUGGGUAGGGGAUCUGAGAGGACGGUCCCCCACACUGGUACUGAGACACGGACCAGACUCCUACGGGAGGCAGCAGUAAGGAAUAUUGGGCAAUGGGGGGAACCCUGACCCAGCCAUGCCGCGUGAGGGAAGUAGGCCCUACGGGUCGUGAACCUCUUUUGUCGGGGGACAAGGACGCCUACGAGAUGGGUGUUUGCGGGUACCCGGCGAAUAAGCAUCGGCUAACUCCGUGCCAGCCGCCGC